rnacentral:rRNA from 1 species
GACGAACGCUGGCGGCGUGCUUAACACAUGCAAGUCGAACGGAAAGGCCCUGCUUUUGUGGGGUGCUCGAGUGGCGAACGGGUGAGUAACACGUGAGUAACCUGCCCUUGACUUUGGGAUAACUUCAGGAAACUGGGGCUAAUACCGGAUAGGAGCUCCUGCUGCAUGGUGGGGGUUGGAAAGUUUCGGCGGUUGGGGAUGGACUCGCGGCUUAUCAGCUUGUUGGUGGGGUAGUGGCUUACCAAGGCUUUGACGGGUAGCCGGCCUGAGAGGGUGACCGGCCACAUUGGGACUGAGAUACGGCCCAGAGUCCUACGUGAGGCAGCAGUGGGGAAUAUUGCACAAUGGGCGGAAGCCUGAUGCAGCAACGCCGCGUGCGGGAUGACGGCCUUCGGGUUGUAAACCGCUUUCGCCUGUGACGAAGCGUGAGUGACGGUAAUGGGUAAAGAAGCACCGGCUAACUACGUG